rnacentral:rRNA from 1 species
CGAAGGACCCGAGCGUUAUCCGGAUUUAUUGGGUUUAAAGGGUGCGUAGGCGUCCUGGAAAGUUACGGUUGAAAUCUCCUUGCUCAACUAGGAAACUGGCCGUAAAACUAUCAGGAUUGAGUACAUUUGAAGCGGGCGGAAUGUGUCAUGUAGCGGUGAAAUGCUUAGAUAUGACACAGAACACCAAUUGCGAAGGCAGCUCGCUAAACUGUAACUGACGCUGAGGCACGAAAGCGUGGGGAUCAAACAGGAUUAGAUACCCUGGUAGUCCACGCCCUAAACGAUGAUUACUCGAUGUGUGCGAUACACUGUACGCGUCUGAGCGAAAGCAUUAAGUAAUCCACCUGGGGAGUACGAUCGCAAGAUUG